GACGAACGCUGGCGGCGUGCUUAACACAUGCAAGUCGAACGGAAAGGCCCUGCUUGCAGGGUACUCGAGUGGCGAACGGGUGAGUAACACGUGGGUGAUCUGCCCUGCACUUCGGGAUAAGCUUGGGAAACUGGGUCUAAUACCGGAUAGGAGCCAUCUUUAGUGUGGUGGUUGGAAAGUUUUUUCGGUGUAGGAUGAGCUCGCGGCCUAUCAGCUUGUUGGUGGGGUAAUGGCCUACCAAGGCGGCGACGGGUAGCCGGCCUGAGAGGGUGGACGGCCACAUUGGGACUGAGAUACGGCCCAGACUCCUACGGGAGGCAGCAGUGGGGAAUAUUGCACAAUGGGCGCAAGCCUGAUGCAGCGACGCCGCGUGGGGGAUGAAGGCCUUCGGGUUGUAAACUCCUUUCGCUAGGGACGAAGCUUUUUGUGACGGUACCUAGAUAAGAAGCACCGGCUAACUACGUG
rnacentral:rRNA from 1 species